AGGUAUUCUGGUUUGUAUCUAAAUAUUUUACUUGUUGGUUGCAGCUGUUUAGGGUUUGAGAUGUUGGCGUAUCUUGCAACCAGCUUCUUAGAAUCCACCUAUGGAUUCUCUGGCACAAGGAUAAUGGCUGAAUACUGCAUUUUCCCCCGAGGAUAUUAUUUCAUUUCAACUGAUUUGAUGUCAAAGUUACGAUACCAAAUCAGAUAAGUUAUAAUUAUCUUAACUUGUCAUACCAUAUAUAC